UACAGAGGGUGCGAGCGUUGUUCGGAAUUAUUGGGCGUAAAGCGCUUGUAGGCGGCUUGUUAAGUCCUGUGUGAAAGCCCUAGGCUUAACCUAGGAAGUGCGUAGGAAACUGGCGAGCUUGAGUGCUGGAGAGGGUUGUGGAAUUUCCGGUGUAGAGGUGAAAUGCGUAGAUAUCGGAAGGAACAUCAGUGGCGAGAGCGGCUUCCUGGACCAGAACUGACGAUCAGGCUCGAAAGCGUGGGGAGCAAACAGG
rnacentral:rRNA from 1 species